AGGCCUUCGAUUCCCAUCCGUGCACGGCCAGUGACUCUGCCACGCCUGGUAUCUGUCUCUCUGGCUCUGCAUGGUUCCAGGUUCUAUACUCCAAGAUGACUAAGAGGAAGUGGAAGGUUCCUAAGACCUUGCCCUCACCUAGACUUAUUCCUGAGUGGAAGAAUUUGAGAUCUAUCAUCGAUAACAUCUUGAAUGACAGAGAGAUUAAGGACGACAUCAGGUAUCGUCACGUGACUGUCUUGAGUGACCGGCCCCAGAUUCUAUACCAGGAGACUUAUCAUUUACAGAAAAAGCCUUUUAUGUGCUUCUACUCUCUGGAUGCCAACUAUUUCGUCGCCUUAAACUGGUUGGAACAGUAUGACAAACAGAUCCAAGUACAGCUACUUUGCUUCAGUUUCACGUCUCCCUUCAGAAAGCAAUUGAUGUGUUCCACACCUAAAACGUCCUUGUUUUGGAGUGAGAGGGAUGCCUCUGAAUAAAUACAUGUUUAUACAC